GUUAAAUGCGUGCGUUACCGACUUAACUCAUUUUCCUUUUUAACAGAUAAUAUUAGCGCUUUUACCUACUAUUCCAGUGCCGCUAGGUUUCGCUUUUAAAAACAAAGCAUCACGCAUCGGUUGUUUCACUGUCAUAAACUGAAAAAGAUUUCCAUUUUUAAUAUGUCUGUUCGCUGACCCUGAUUUCGUCUUUCGCUAGCUUGAAGCGCAUUUUUGUUGCACUUCGAUGCAGAUAGUUAAUGAAAAUGAAAACUCAAAAGAUGCAUUUUAAGGAUUUCGACUUGAGUCUUGCCAUCUUCAAAUGAUUCGGUGUCCAUUCAGGCUUUGAUUCCAAGCAACCAUGAGGAAGAGUGGACAUUAAACCUGAAGAAUUUCCUUUACUGUCAAAGUUAAAGACUCGUGAACAAAGAAUUAUGUGUUUAAAAAAGAUCUGGAGACUGUCAACCGCUGAAGCAAAUAAAGAUUGCUUCUCAGCUUUAAAGUAAAUUGUAGCAACUUAAUGUUUUGUCAUAUGCUAGUGUGGGAAAAAGUAACGACAAAUAAUUCCCCGUGAAUUACUGGCAAGCUGAAAGUUAUUGCUUUUGAUUUUUCCUACUGACAUAAAUGUUAUAACGCGUGAAAAACAUGGCUAAAUGUCUCUCAAAAUUAAAAAGAUU